ACGUUCGGGUAAUCGCUGCAGAUCUUUGAAUCUGUAGAGGAAAGUCCAUGCUCGCACGGUGCUGAGAUGCCCGUAGUGUUCGUGCCUAGCAAAACCAUAAGCUAGGGCAGCCUGUUUUUAGGCUGACGGCAGGAAAAAAGCCUACGUCUUUUCAGAUAUGGCUGAGUAUCCUUGAAAGUGCCACAGUGACGAAGUCUCACUAGAAAUGGUGGGAGUGGAACGCGGUAAACCCCUCGAGCGAGAAACCCAAAUUUUGGUAGGGGAACCUUCUGGACGGAAAUGAACGGAAAGAAGGACAGAGAUGACUCUGUAGAUAGAUGAUUACCACCUGAGUACGAGGCUGAAAAAGCCGAUGGCAGUACGAUGGAACAAAACAUGGCUUACAGAA
rnacentral:RNase_P_RNA from 1 species